CGCCUCCUGUAACAAACACACAAAGAAAGAAAGACGUAAGAUAAUUGCAACUUCACUUUAGCUCUGGCUAAAAAAAAACGCGCACACCAAAUUAAUGGAAGAGGGAGUGGAAUUCGAAAUUGAUUUAGUGUCUGGUUCUUCUUCUUCUCUUCUAUAAACUAAAUGAUGAUGUAGAAACCUGAUGAAAUGAAAGUACACGUUGUGUUGUUUGUGUUAGGAGAGCUUGCAACUGGGAGAGUUCUCACGAUCCGGAGUACAAAGAAAUUUUUUGCAGACAUAAUAAACAUAGGGAGAGAGACAGUGGCCGCGGAAGGGGGGGACAUAGUAGGAUGAGGGAGGGAGGGGUUUAUAUAAGAUGGAGAGAUGAUGUGGACAUCGAAUAACUGUGGGGACAUUGUCCCUCUGUCCGCACCCACGCUUCCGCGGUCACUGUUAAAGAGUACGUUAAACUCGUGUAAUCAGUGGCCGCGGAAGCUGUGGGGACAUCUGGGACAUUGUCAUUGUAGGAUAAGAGGGGGGGUUUAUUUAAGACGGGCAGAUGAUGGGGACAUCGAACAGCCGUAUGGGACAUUGUCCCUCUGUCCGCACCCACGCUUCCGUGGCCACUGCGUAAAAGUAUGUUAUACUCGUAAGUAAUCAGUGGCCGCGGAAGCUGUGGGGACAUUAGCAUGUAGGAUGGGGGAGGGAGGGGUUUAUAUAACAUUGGCGAUGAUGCGGACAUCGAAUAACCUUUGGCACAUUGUCCCUCUGCCCCCACUCACGCUUCCGCGGCCACUGAGCUAGGAGAGUUUCCAAUUUGUAAAAAAAAAAUUCGUCCUCUCACAAAUUCGGGGAACAACACCUCUCCUAAAAAAGGAAAAUAGGACCGAGAAAGAAAGAAAGGUUUGAAACUGGAGAGAUUUUUUUUAACGAGAGCAGACUUCACUUUGCAGGAUGGAGCGGGUUGUUGGCUGGCUGGGUGGGUGGCUCGGUGGGUGUGUUCUGUUCUCAUUCUACAGGAUUUUAUUUAAGCUAAAACAUUCAUCCUUCUUUACAAGUAAAACUUUAUCCUGACGGCAUACACACACACACACAGUUUUGUCCGAGAGGGCUUUUUCUGACAGGACGCAAAUAGAAAGUGUCAACUCAGUUUUGAUAUGCUUGCCUGAAUAAUUUCUUUGCUUACGCCUUUCGCACGAACAAACUUUCUUAAUCUAAAUUUUCUUCAGAGAGAGAAAGCUCCAAGAGAGAGAGAUAUGAGGGCUGUAAUGUAUUCAAGGCUGAUAAUCUGUCGUACUGCUUCAGCUAAAUCAACCUUCACUUAUCCUCCAGUUAUGCUAUGCAUGAUUAACAAGAAGACUUGAGAAGAGUUCUCUUUGCCUAAUAAGUUUUGGGCCAUUAUGCAAAAAGAAAAAUUCAAAGGAAUUCAGAAUUUUUCUGGAGAGGAAACUCGUCAAAUAUUAAUUAGUCUUUUUUGUUUGGUAAUUUUCGUAAUUUGGGAACUUUUCCAAGUCUUGUAAAUAAAAUGGGGGCAUUAAAAAGGAGUAUAAAGUGGUGCCGUAAAUAAGCAAAUAUUUGCAUAUCAUAGGGUAUGUACACACACAUAUGAAUGUAGCUAAAAAGUACUUAAUGCUUGGAUCAACAAAAGGCUUAUCUAAAUAGGAGCAAAGUGUGGGGAUAAUUGCCAAUUUUGGAGUAAAGUGCUUUGUUGCUGUUCGUGAGUGGGAAAUCGAUAUGGAUGGAUAGAUGCAGUAAUUAACCUGACAGUUAAUUAAUGAAUGAGAGCAAUGUCUGGUAUGGAUGUAGGUCUGGUCCAGUUAUUUUGCAUUAUUAAUUUCCAAAAGUAUGGAUUUGAUUGAGUAUGACUGACACAAAUGUAUAAUCUUGUACUCAACGGUUAACAUAUAUGUAAAAAGUACAGAACUUUUGCGGUAUCAUCAACGGGAUAUGACACAUCAUCGUUAUCGGUGGAAUCGUGUCAUCGUGUGUGACACAUACAAAAAAUCGCUGGAAAGCCGAAAAUUUCAGUCUACCAACAAUAUGUACAUAUAUUCGUCUAAAAAGAUAAGCGUAAUCGCCCAUUGCAAAUAUUACGUGUCAGUCAAAACCACACAGCUUUAACAAAAUAUGUUCAACAUUAUAACUCAAUCUAUAAAUUUAUGUGGAUAUAUCGUUGACUAAAUUAAAUGAGUCAAGCCAUUUAAUUUUUAUAUCGAUGUAUGGAAGUGCAUCUAUUUGAAUACGAAGUUAAUUCAAUUUUCUAAAAAAAAUUAAAUACGGCGUAAAACUUAGCAGCUUUCACUUUUUCUCCAAAAAUUAGUCUGUCCUUCCACCCACCAUCGGACACAUAUAGAUGACCGACAUACGAUAUCAUUCAUCAGUGAUGAAUCAUCACCAACCAGCCUGUAAUAUCAAUAUGAAGAAUCAAGUAGCAAAACACUUACCCGCACAACACCACUUGAUAACACAAAAAUUGAUGUUAAUUGACGGAUAUUAAAUUUCCGUUUUAUUUUAUAUCAGCUGCCUCUACCUGCACACCUGGCUUGCUUUUACUCGUAGCAGAUAUUUUAGCACCACUCCUCCUGGUAAAAAUAAAAAAUCUAAUUUCGUCCCCUUUUAUCACCAGAAAACACUUUUCUCCUUUUUACGCACACAUUCAAUUCAAUUCUGUUCUGUUACUUUUCCACCCAUUCGUUCAAUGAUGAUGAUCACCUGUUUAUGACUGGACUCUCUCGUCCAUCCAUUAUUCCAAUCUUCCUCCACUCACAAAGUCCAAAAACCAAACCACAAAAACCAACCACGUCGACUAUAGUUCAUGUGGUCAUACUAAAAAUCCACACCUUGUCUGUCUCUCUGCUGAGUCACAACUGCCUUGAAACCACCACCAACCUCUCGUCUCGACUCCUAUGCUUUACUUUCUCCGGUGGCAGACAAAUUCCGUGGACGGAGAGAGAAAGUUGGCCAAGUCCCAAUUUCCAGGUUUUCUCCAGUCCACACGGAACAAGACCUGCUGUUCUGGUAAAACCCAACUUUCCCUCGGACCCUGUCUGUGCCAAAUUCGGUGCAUGGGAAGGUUAGUUGGUCGUCGCUGUUCUGCUGCUGCUGCUUUUUUUUUAUCUAAACUUGCUGCCUCUGUUCUGUUCUUGUUCUUCCUUGUUAGAGAAAGUUGGGAAAGUUGUGGAGAGAGAACGGACAGAAAUCACGUUGUGAUGUGAAAAUCAAUACUAAAAUGUGCCCGUAUAGAUGGAUGGAUGGAUGUCAGUCAGAUAUUGACUUAUUUGUCAGGCCAGGCGAAUGUAAAGUGAGUGAAGUGAACCUCUCUUUUGCAGGGAGAUUAAUUUCCAUUGAAUUGGAGGUUGCUUUGCUUUACCCUGCUUUCACUUACUUUCUCUUGGAAAUUGAUACUUAUUAUUGUGAGUGAGUGAGUGAAAACCUUGGUGCUGGAGGCGGACGGAGGCAUGAAAUGAAAUGAAAUGAAGCCGUUCAGCGUUAGUAACGAAGGAAAGGGAGAUCAGAAGAGUGAAAUGGCUGAAUUGUGAAAUGAAAUACGGAGAAAGCUCUGAAGUCUAAAUGCGUCAAUUUAAGUAAUAAAAUCAUGCAAGUUUGAAAGGUAUUGAAUUUUAGGGAGAGAGCUUAUGGAAGAGUUAUGUAAAUAUGGAGGUGUACGAUUUCGUCGAGGAUUAUAGGUGGGAAUUUUGCAUAAAUGUGAAAGUUAUGCAUACGUUCCAGAGGUCCACUGGUGUACUGGUCACAAUUUGGGGAAUUGUUAAAAAAUUUUGCAUUGCAUUCAGUGGCCGUGGGGACAUCUGGGGACAUUAACAUUGUAGGAUAUGGGAGGGAGGGGUUUAUAUAACAUGGGGAGAUGAUGGAGACAUCGAAUAACCCUGGGGACAUUGUCCCUCUAUCUGCCCCCAAGCUUCCGCUGCCACUGACCGCAUUUCUGGACAUUUUAAGAACCCGGGGUCUUGACCUGUGCAGGAAACAAAUUCAAAUAUUAAAAUUUGUGGUGACAAGUGGCACGUCCUAGCCGAAGUAUUUUGCGAUGCAUGCAUGGAUCCCAAAACUCAGGAGAAAAUUCAGAUUUAAAAGAGAGAGAAAUUGUGCCGAACAAAAGUAGUCGAAUGAGCUGAACGGGGUCCUAAAACUUUUCCCCGUAAUUGGGAGAUUUUACUUUCUUCAUUCAUUCAUCAGUUCUUUUGAGAAUUUGGAUCGGAUUGUGGAUGGAUUGGAUAAUAAUGACGACUUUCUGAAAAUGAGGGCAGUGGGUGCAGUUUUAUACUUUAUUAUACCCACACAUACACCAUUACUCGCUCUAUUUUACAGAAAUGCUACCUAACCUUUCUCCAAGGAUUGAAUCGUUUAAUUUAAUGAGUAUUGACGAAGCAAUAGAAUAGCGGCGAAUUUUAAUGAUGCCUUCUUUUUGCAAAAGAAAUAAAUUUCCGUCCUGGUUUUCUGGUUUUGGACGAGAAAAUGAGUGUAACAACAAAAACCUGGUUUUAUCCAGACGUGACUUUCCUACCGCUUUCACUUGCCAAAUUGCGUUUCCUAGUUCUUGUCCGGACUAAUGAUGCCUUAUGGAUAGCUAUUAAAAUCAUUCGACCCGAUGAAUUCCCUUCGGAUGGUGUUGCUGCCCCUGGAUUCGUUCUCCGGAAAAAAAGUAGCAAUAAGUUACAUAAUAUUUUACCUAUUUUAUACCAAAUUCGAACAAUUUUCUAGAUUUAUUUCGUAACAAAAUUCUUAUAAACAAUGAAUAAUGGGAGCGAUAAACAAAAUUAUUUUCAAACUUAACCUAUGUAUUUAGCUAGCUACCUAUUUGAUCCCGUAUAUUAUUUAUUUGGUAUUGUAAUUCGUACAUUCAUAGUUGCUCAAUUAAUACGACUGUUUGGAAAUAUCCGUCAGAUUUGGCGUUAUGUAGUGAAAGAACUAAGAUUGGAAUGAAU